GUGUGUUGGUACAGUAAGAAUAACUGUGUUUCUUGUUUAUUUAGCUGGCCACACUGGAGCCAGCAGGGCUUCUUUUUCACACAAGGCAUGCCCUGCUUGCAGUUGGAAAGAGUGCAGGACCCGGUGCCUUCCUGAGUGAUGACACUGAGGAUUUAAGAAUAUCUUUGCAGUUGCUGGAGUAGCGAAGGGUGGAAUGAUGGUCUGCAUUCAACUUGGUUGUACAGUGUGUUCAGUGUAACAAAUGUCAGUAAAACAUACGGAAAGAAACAGGUCUUUUGUAUAUGAAACAUCUGAUUUGUUCCAGGAAAUCACAUGCAGAUACAGCGCUUCCCUUCACAGCAACCAGAUGCAUGUUUUGAAUUGACACAGGCAGUUUAUCCAUAUUCCUGGACUGCUAAGCACUACUUUCAGCAACUCUCAGGGCUAGAACUCAUUCCCUGGGAAAUUUCUUUCCUGAUGAAUCUUCAAGAUUUACCAGCAGGAGUGCAGAUCUGAGAUAAAACGACCCAUCUUUGUAAGAAAUCUCUUUCUGGAGUUGACCUCAGGGAAACAAACACUAAUUCAUCUUGCUUGUGCUACAUGUCUACUUUAUUUGAAAAUAUAACUUUCUGUAUUCAUUCUUCCCCCCCUGAGUCCUACCUAUAUCCUCAGUGCCUGUGCACAGUUCAAAUUCCCUUGCAGUGUGUCUGCUGGUUUUCUUUCCUGAAAGAAUCUGUUAAGCAUUUUUUAAUGCUGCGUUUUCCUUUCAUUGUGGGUAUGUCUACCUUCCUCCUUCCUACAGCAUACUUUCUUACCUAUUUUUUUUUUAUAAUAACAUAUAGUGGUGCUCUUUAUUUUUUUCUCCCAGGCUUCUUUCAGAUGGCAGAGACCAGCUUCUGAUACUGAAGUUUCACUAAAACCAAUGGCAGCAAUGUGAAUGUGCACCCAUUGAGAAAUUGGCCCCAGUCACGUGUUUCCUGAAAUCAU
rnacentral:lncRNA from 1 species